rnacentral:snoRNA from 11 species
GGCACACUGGAGCUCAGUUUGAGCAUGAUGAAAUGAAGCUCAAAUAGAACUUUCUGCC